rnacentral:sRNA from 1 species
ACGCAGGAGGUUCACUGGCAGCGAGUGCUCUCCUUUGUGUCUGCCCUUGUUGUCUGCUUCCCAGAAGCGCAGCAGCUGCUUGAAGACUGGGUGGCGCGUUUGAUGGCCCAGGCAUUCGAGAGCUGCCAGCUGGACAGCAUGGUCACUGCGUUCCUGGUGGUGCGCCAGGCAGCACUGGAGGGCCCCUCUGCGUUCCUGUCAUAUGCAGACUGGUUCAAGGUAAGUGACCUGCCGAUCGGCUACCUAAUACCUGAUCUUCCCAGAAGGCCUGGGAGUGGGGACCAUGCUGUCCCCACCUGACUCUCUGUCAUGUGAGUGAGCAGCCUUGCUGUCAGCUUUGCCGAGUGGCCUUGGCAGAUCUUCCUCUGCGUGUGCCGAGGAGCCUGGGUUCUCCCUGUCGGGGCCUCAGCUCCUUCCCCUGGUUUCCGUCUCACUUAGUUGACGGAGCCUCCUGCUGUCUUUUAUAAGAAAAUUAGUGAAAUCAAGCCUGGAGACCAUAGUGAAACCUCAUCUCCACCAAAAA